rnacentral:rRNA from 1 species
UACGGGGGGAGCAAACGUUGUUCGGAAUCACUGGGCGUAAAGGGCGUGUAGGCGGCUGAAUAAGUGGGAUGUUAAAUCCCCCGGCUCAACCGGGGACCUGCAUCUCAUACUGUUCAGCUCGAGCACAUCAGAGGAGACUGGAAUUCCCGGUGUAGCGGUGAAAUGCGCAGAGAUCGGGAGGAACACCCGUAGCGAAGGCGGCACUCUGGGCCGGUACUGACGCUGAGGAGCGAAAGCGUGGGGAGCAAACAGG